rnacentral:rRNA from 1 species
GACGAACGCUGGCGGCGUGCCUAAUACAUGCAAGUUGAGCGCUGAAGGAUGGUACUUGUACCAACUGGAUGAGCAGCGAACGGGUGAGUAACGCGUGGGGAAUCUGCCUUUGAGUGGGGGACAAUAUCUGGAAACGAAUGCUAAUACCGCAUAAAAACUUUAAACACAAGUUUUAAGUUUGAAAGAUGCAAUUGCAUCACUCAAAGAUGAUCCCGCGUUGUAUUAGCUAGUUGGUGAGGUAAAGGCUCACCAAGGCGGUGAUACAUAGCCGACCUGAGAGGGUGAUCCGCCACAUUGGGACUGAGACACGGCCCAAACUCCUACGGGAGGCAGCAGUAGGGGAUCAUCGGCAAUGGACGAAAGGCUGGACGAAGAACGCCGCGGGAGUGGAGAAGGGUUUCGGAUCGGAAAACUCUGUUGGUAGAGAAGAACAUUGGUGAGAGUGGAAAGCUCAUCAAGUGACGGUAACUACCCAGAAAGCGACGGCUAACUACGUG